ACGGGUGAGUAAUGCUUAUCUACUUGCCAAUUAGUGGGGGUAAUCCCGCAUACUCUGAUUUCGGUCAGGAAAGGGCUCCGUAAGGGCCCGCUAGUUGAGAGGGAUAAGGCGUAUUAGCUAGUUGGUGGGGUAAUGGCCUACCAAGGUAAUGAUGCGUAGCCGGCCUGAGAGGGUGAACGGCCACAAGGGAACUGAGACACGGUCCCUACUCCUACGGGAGGCAGAAGGAGGAAACAUCCCGCANUGGACGCAAGUCUAACGGAGUGAUACUACGUGAAGGAUGAAGGUCUAAGGAUUGUAAACUUCUUUACUAGUAGGUACUGCUUUUGGGCUUGCCUGCUAGCAAAAAGUCACGACUAACUAUGUGCCAGCAGUCGCGGUAAGACAUAGGUGGCAAACGUUAUCCGGAUUUAUUGGGCGUAAAGGAUGCGUAGAUGGCGGAAUAAGUUAUCAGUAGAAGCUAGGCUCAACUUAACGGAAGCUGAUAAUACUAUUCUGCUAGAGGACAGGAGAGGUUGGCGGAACUCUAUGCGUAGGGGUGAAAUCCAUUGAUCUAUAGAGGACCACCAAAAAAGGCGAAGGCAGCCAACUAUUCUGCUCCUGACAUUGAGGCAUGAAAGCGUGGGGAGCAAAACGGAUUAGAUACCCGUGUAGUCCACGCCCUAAACGAUGAGCAUUAGACAUUAAGAAGUGAAUUAGUGUCGCAGCUAACGCUUUAAAUGCUCCGCCUGGGUAGUACGAUCGCAAGGUUGAAACUCAAAGGAAUUGACGGGGACCCGCACAAGCGGUGGAGCAUGUGGUUUAAUUCGAUACAACGCGCAGAACCUUACCAAGGCUUGACAUGGAGGGCAAUGUUGAAGAAACUCAACGGAGGUUAUCCCGACACAGGUGGUGCAUGGUCGUCGUCAGUUCGUGCUGUGAAGUGUAUGCUUAAGUGCUAAAACGAACGCAACCCUCAUGUUUAGUUACUAACAAUUAAUAGUUGAGAUUCUCUAAACAGACUGCGUGGGGAAACCCACCGGAGGUUAACUCCGCAAGGUAACUUGGAGGAAGGAGAGGAUGACGUCUGGUCGUC
rnacentral:rRNA from 1 species